rnacentral:rRNA from 1 species
GAUGAACGCUGGCGGCGUGCCUAAUCCAUGCAAGUCGAACGAAGGGUGUAGCAAUAUACUCUUAGUGGCGAACGGGUGAGUAACGCGUUGGUGACCUGCCCCGAAGUGUGGGAUAACAGUUCGAAAGGAUUGCUAAUACCGCAUGUGAUCUUCGAGAUUUGAAGCUUGAAGAUUAAAGGACGAAAGUCCGCUACGGGAGGGGCCUGCGUCCCAUCAGCUAGUUGGUAAGGUAAUGGCUUACCAAGGCGAUGACGGGUAGGGGACCUGAGAGGGUGACCCCCCACAAUGGAACUGAAACACGGUCCAUACACCUACGGGUGGCUG